CUGCCUCAAGGCUGCCUCUGAAGUAGUUCCAAGGUUUCCCUCUGUUCCCAAGAAUCUGAAGAGCCCAAUUUGAAAACCAUUUAAGUAGAUCAUCCAUGCAGUAAUCUUUCCAUGAUUAUUAAAUUUUGGAUCAGCACACAGUGGAAGGAAAGUGCCUUCUCUCCUCUAACAAAGAUGUGCUGAACUUCCACACUCCCGAAUGGACUCCGUGGCAGGCAAGGAAAAUGCAAAGACACAUGAUAGAUUUGUUAAAUAUAUGACCUCAAAGAUCUGACACCCUUGUUGACAAACUGGGCAGGUAAAGCAAA